rnacentral:tRNA from 1 species
GCCAAGGUGGCUGAGUGCUUAAGGGGAUGGACUGCUAAUCUAUUGUGUUCUGCACUCAUGGGUUUGAAUCCCAUCCUUGUUG